rnacentral:lncRNA from 1 species
CAGAAAAACAAAAAAUAUACAACAACAAUUCCCUCUUCUUCUUCCCUCUCCAAAUCCCUAACCUUUUUAAUUUUCCAAAAACAAAAUUCGAAACAAUCUGAACAAGAAACUCAAUUUGGGAAAGAGAAAUUCGAAUAUGGGCAAGAAACUUAAAAUCGUGUCUGAGUCGAAUCUUACAAGAGAAAUUCAAAUUAAAAUCGUUCCCCUCAG